CAUCAAAGAUGGACCCUCUGCUGG
rnacentral:miRNA from 1 species